rnacentral:misc_RNA from 1 species
GAACUGCGAUAAGUAAUGAGAAUUGCAGAAUUCAGUGAAUCAUCGAGUCUUUGAACGCACAUUGCGCCCCCUGGCAUUCCGGGGGGCAUGCCUGUCCGAGCGUCAUUGCUGCCCUUCAAGCCCGGCUUGUGUGUUGGGUCGUCGUCCCCUCCGGGGGACGGGCCCGAAAGGCAGCGGCGGCACCGCGUCCGGUCCUCGAGCGUAUGGGGCUUUGUCACCCGCUCGAUAAGGACCGGCCGGGCGCCAGCCGGCGUCUCCAACCUUUUUUUCUCAGGUUGACCUCGGAUCAGGUAGGGAUACCCGCUGAACUUAAGC